GCAUCAUUGGUCUAGUGGUAGAAUUCAUCGUUGCCAUUCAACUCUGGAACCUCGGUUCCUGAUUGGUGUGAUUCGAUGAGGCCCGUGUUCGAUUCACGGAUGAUGCA